rnacentral:rRNA from 1 species
UACGAAGGGGGCCAGCGUUGCUCGGAAUCACUGGGCGUAAAGGGUGCGUAGGCGGGUCUUUAAGUCAGGGGUGAAAUCCUGGAGCUCAACUCCAGAACUGCCUUUGAUACUGAAGAUCUUGAGUUCGGGAGAGGUGAGUGGAACUGCGAGUGUAGAGGUGAAAUUCGUAGAUAUUCGCAAGAACACCAGUGGCGAAGGCGGCUCACUGGCCCGAUACUGACGCUGAGGCGCGAAAGCCAGGGGAGCAAA